ensembl:lncRNA CCDC26 CCDC26 long non-coding RNA
GCUACAGUGCUACUGGCCCAUAAUCAGGCAACUGCAGAGUCUUAGGGGGUUAUCUAAUGUAGUCUUGGGGUGGCUGGAUAGACUUCCCAAAGAAGGUGAUGCCGAAGCUGAGGUCGGAAAUUACGAAGAUCAGCUAUGGAGUCAGAGGGAUAUUUGACUGUAGAAAAGGAGAAGGCAAUGUGAUGACAGAAAGCGGGGAUCGGAGUGAUGGUGCCAAGGAACACCAGCAUCCUUAGAAGCUGGCAGAAACAAGAAGUGGACUCUACCCUGGAUCCUCCAGGAGAAACCAGCUCUACUCACACCUUGAUUUUAGCCCUGCAAGACUCAUUUUGGACUUCUGGUUUCCAGAACUGUUAGAGAAUCUUUAAUAAAUGAAAUAAAUGUGACUGUAUGUCCUACAUCCCAUUCCUGUUGUCUUCCAUGUCUCCUCAGAGGAAGGCCUGAGGAGAGAAGACACAUAGUCAUGCUGACUAAACCAGAUCACCUAGAAUUACCAAAUGGAAAGAUUGUGCCUGCAGCCUGGCCUGUUGCCCACAGCGGUCUACCUGCCACACUGGGAAAGAUCGAGCAGAGACAGAGAAGAAAAGGAGGCUCCAUUUUUCAGGCUGCUCUCCCGCAGGCUCAUGUUUUGUGUUCAUGCCAGGCAGAGAACACAAAAUGUUCCAAUAAAUAAGUAUCAAAGGUUAGUGGUGAAAAUGAAGGAGGAGGAGGCAUUGCGUGAAAAACUAAACAUGCAAAAUAUUACACACAAAGAGAACCAAAAUGCAGGUUCACUGGAAAUGAUAGACAAUAUGUUAAAACAAGAGGAGAGAAGAGAGCUGAAAUAAUCAAAUGGAAACACACAAUUUAGGGCUAAGAUCUUGUUGUGUUCAGCCACAAAUGAUGGCCAGCAGUGAGGAAUCUGUGUGUUCUCCACACUCUUCGCUCCUGGGAAGUCAACUCACAUGGACCAUGAUAUCAAUAUCUGCUCCUUCCCCUAAUAUCUGUUUGACCUUGGGUCAGUUACUUAAACUUCCUAAGCCUUAGUUUCUUUGUCUGGAAAAUAGGGAUAGUUAUACCUACCACACAACCACUUUGUAAUGAAUAUGUUGGAAAUUAUAUGCAAAUUGGCUUCCGUUGGUGUUUGGAACAUAGUAGGUUUUUAACUGGAAUAUAAUAGCUACCAUUAUCAGUAUCAUCAUAUUAAUUUAUAUUUCCAUCUUCAGCCCUUAACCCAGGAUCUUCAGUAAAUGUUGAAUUCUCAAAUUUGUUAAAUUCACUUGUCUAUACUAAUAUUUUACUCUAGGUUUCUUAGAAUAUUCUAGAUAAUAUUAUUAUGUAGAAUAUGUUAUGUAAGCUUCAUCUUAUCUGUAAAUAUAGUUUUACUUUUUCCUUUCUAAUUUUUAUGUCGAUUACUUCUUUUUCUUGGCUUAUUGAAUUGGCUAGGAUUCCCGUACAGUGUUGAAUACGUGCAGCAAGACUGCACAUCUUGCCUUGUUCCUGGUCCCACAGAGAGAAUAUCCAGUACUUCACAAUAAGUAUGUGUUAAUUGUAGAUUUUAUUAGAUUGAGGAAGUUCCCUUUCCUUUCAAGUCAGUCUUUUUAUUUUAAACAUGUAUUGAAGUUUUGUCAAAUGUCUUCAUCUAUUGGAAUAAUUAUACAUAUCUCUUUUUUAUUCUGUUAAUAUUACAUUUCAAUCUUCUGUCUACCUAAAAUCCCUAGAAUAAUCUCCAUUUGGCUAUGAUGUGUUGUGCUUUUAUAUAUUACUGAAUUCUAUAUGCCAAUAUUAUUAAAAUUUUCUGUCUUUAUGAGAAA